AGCAUCUCCAAUGUGAGGUGCCAACCAAAGUUGCUAAACAUGCUUAUUCAUCAAAAAUAUCAAUAUUUUAUUUUCUCUUUCUUUUAAGUUACUUUUGGCACCCCUCUUAUCAAUAUUCACUCCAAUGGUUGGCAACUAAAGUUGUCAAAAAUACUAUAAUUUUGUUUAUCUAAAAUUAGAUAGGAUAUUAUAGGCUUUUAUGACAAUAAAUGAAUUUUUCCCAUUUUGGGAGGGUGCCAAAGGGUGCCAAAAAUUGGCAACUUUGCUUGGCACCCCUAUCACUCCAAUGGGUAGCCAAAAAGAUUGUUAUGCCAUGUCAUGCCACAUGGCAUUUUGGCACCUCUCUUGGCACCCCCAUUGGAGAUGCU
rnacentral:lncRNA from 1 species